UACAGAGGUCUCGAGCGUUAGGCGGAAUCACUGGGCUUAAAGCGUGUGUAGGCGGAUCGGUAAGUACCUUGUGAAAUCCCACAGCUUAACUGUGGAACUGCUUGGUAUACUGCCAGUCUUGAGCCAGCUAGGGGCGACCGGAACAAAUGGUGGAGCGGUGAAAUGCGUAGAUAUCAUUCGGAACGCCAAUGGUGAAAACAGGUCGCUGGGGCUGUGCUGACGCUGAGACACGAAAGCCAGGGGAGCGAACGGG
rnacentral:rRNA from 1 species